AGCAGCCGCGGGAAUACAGAGGGUGCGAGCGUUAAUCGGAUUUACUGGGCGUAAAGCGUGCGUAGGCGGCUUCUUAAGUCGGAUGUGAAAUCCCUGAGCUUAACUUAGGAAUUGCAUUCGAUACUGGGAAGCUAGAGUAUGGGAGAGGAUGGUAGAAUUCCAGGUGUAGCGGUGAAAUGCGUAGAGAUCUGGAGGAAUACCGAUGGCGAAGGCAGCCAUCUGGCCUAAUACUGACGCUGAGGUACGAAAGCAUGGGGAGCAAACAGGAUUAGAUACCCCAGUAGUCCCUGUCUCUUAUACACA
rnacentral:rRNA from 1 species